rnacentral:rRNA from 1 species
CUACGGGACGCUGCAGUGGGGAAUUUUGGACAAUGGGCGCAAGCCUGAUCCAGCCAUUCCGCGUGAGUGAAGAAGGCCUUCGGGUUGUAAAGCUCUUUCGCAAGGGAAGAAAACUUAUCCUCUAACAUAGGGUGAGGUUGACGGUACCUUGAUAAGAAGCACCGGCUAACUACGUGCCAGCAGCCGCGGUAAUACGUAGGGUGCGAGCGUUAAUCGAAAUUACUGGGCGUAAAGAGUGCGCAGGCUGUUUUGUAAGUCAGAUGUGAAAUCCCCGAGCUCAACUUGGGAACUGCGUUUGAAACUACAAGACUAGAAUAUGUCAGAGGGGGGUAGAAUUCCAUGUGUAGCAGUGAAAUGCGUAGAGAUGUGGAGGAAUACCAAUGGCGAAGGCAGCCCCCUGGGAUAAUAUUGACGCUCAUGCACGAAAGCGUGGGGAGCAAACAGGAUUAGAUACCCGCGUAGUC